AGUGGGAGAGUGGCCCUGAGCAGAGAGGAGCGUAAGGGGCAAGGCACACCCCUUGAGAGGUCGGUGUCAGCAGCAAGCCCGUUUGCCUGUAGACAUCUGUCUCCACUCUUUAUUUAUACAUAUUUUUUGAGUAAGGGUCUCACCCUGUCACCCAGGCUGGAGUGCAGUGGCAAGAUCACAGCUUGCUGCAGACUCAAUCUCCCGGGCUUAACCAAUCCUCCCACUUCAGCCUCCCAAGUAGCUGAGACUUCAGGCGUGCGUCACCACACCCAGCUAAUUUCCGUGUGUGUGUGUGUGUGUGUGUGUGUGUGUUUGUGUUUAGUAGGGAUGGGGUUUUUCCAUGUUGCCCCAGCUGGUCUUGAACUUCUAGGCUCAGGCAAUCCUCCUGCCUCAGCCUCCCGAGGUGCUGGGAUCACAGGUGUGAGCCGCCACUGGCAGGCAUCUCCUCAACUUGACAUUGCAGUGAGAAAGGGCAAAAGUAGCCGGUCUCACAGAGCAGACAUGUGCUUCCCGUCCUGACCUGCAACGUGCUGCCUCCUUACAAGUGCUACCAGAUCACCUGGUUCAUAUCCCGGAGCCCCAGCCCGGACCAUGUGGUAAAAGUGGCCGAGUACAACAAAGUGAAGCUGAGCAUCUUCAUUGCCCGCCUCUAUCACGACUGUGACCCGGGAUUCCAGCACGGGCUUCGCAGACUGCAGGACACAGAGGCACGCGUGCACAUCAUGUCUUCUAAGGAAUUUGAACACUGUUGAGAAGACUGUGUACAAGAGAGAUGUGCCAUGUCAGCCUUGCAAGGGACAGCGUGAAAACUACCCAUCUCCGGUCACCAAGUUGCAGGGUAGCCUCACAGCUGAUGCCCUCGCUCCUCUCGGCUCCUGCUCAGCCUCCUGAUGCCUUCCCUCUGUCCUGGAUCAGAUUCACCCCUGCCUGGGCCUUCUGAGCUGCUCCUGCCCUGAGUACCACCCCUCAGUGCCCCCCACCUCACUGCCUCUUCCCCACUUUCCUGACCCUGCCUGUGAGAGGCUGCUUUCUGCCUCCAUAGCAACCUCUAUCCACCCCCCAGUCUCCUUCCUCCCAUCCUGGGGGCCCCUAGCCUGGCUCCUUCCAUCUCCUCAUCAUACCUAAAUCUUGUCAUUGAACUGAUAUAAAUAGGUAGUAGAAAUAUACAUAAGUGUGAAAGUUAAGUUUUGAGAAACACCUUUUGUAAAAAACCGAUGGUAAGUAUUGGGUCAUUCUUGUCACACCCAACUCAAACAGAGGCCAGGAGCCAGGAGGGGAAACCACUCAGUUUGCAAAACGUCGCUUCCACAAGCCUGAUGGCUGAAACUGCUCACUGUACCCUGAAACCAGCUUUACCUACAGCUUCUGAGAUAAACUGCUGCAACUCUGGGACCCACGAUGCCUAUCACAGUGGCUCAUCAAUGGAACCUGCCGGCUCCCAACCCUUCCUAGGGCCCAUGAACUCUCUGAAAAGAGGAACAGAAAUAUUUCUCCUUUUUGUAAAAUCUUUAACCUUCCCUUUGUUCUUCAUGUACACGCUGAACUGCAAUUCUUCUUCCCAAAUAAAACAUUAAAUUUA